AGAGUUUGAUCCUGGCUCAGGAUGAACGCUGGCGGCGUGCCUAAUACAUGCAAGUCGAGCGAACAGAUAAGGAGCUUGCUCCUUUGACGUUAGCGGCGGACGGGUGAGUAACACGUGGGUAACCUACCUAUAAGACUGGAAUAACUCCGGGAAACCGGGGCUAAUGCCGGAUAACAUUUAGAACCGCAUGGUUCUAAAGUGAAAGAUGGUUUUGCUAUCACUUAUAGAUGGACCCGCGCCGUAUUAGCUAGUUGGUAAGGUAAUGGCUUACCAAGGCAACGAUACGUAGCCGACCUGAGAGGGUGAUCGGCCACACUGGAACUGAGACACGGUCCAGACUCCUACGGGAGGCAGCAGUAGGGAAUCUUCCGCAAUGGGCGAAAGCCUGACGGAGCAACGCCGCGUGAGUGAUGAAGGGUUUCGGCUCGUAAAACUCUGUUAUUAGGGAAGAACAAACGUGUAAGUAACUGUGCACGUCUUGACGGUACCUAAUCAGAAAGCCACGGCUAACUACGUGCCAGCAGCCGCGGUAAUACGUAGGUGGCAAGCGUUAUCCGGAAUUAUUGGGCGUAAAGCGCGCGUAGGCGGUUUCUUAAGUCUGAUGUGAAAGCCCACGGCUCAACCGUGGAGGGUCAUUGGAAACUGGGAGACUUGAGUGCAGAAGAGGAAAGUGGAAUUCCAUGUGUAGCGGUGAAAUGCGCAGAGAUAUGGAGGAAC
rnacentral:rRNA from 1 species